AAAGAAGACGAAUUGGUACUUUGUGAAAUGGAGAGAGAGGCGCGAAAGCGGAUUAGUGUACUCUACAC
ensembl:ncRNA M176.13 ncRNA